AUUGAACGCUGGUGGCAUGCUUUACACAUGCAAAGUCGGACGGGCAGCACAGAGAAGCUUGCUUCUUGGGGGGAGAGUGGCGAACGGGUGAGUAAUAUAUCGGAACGUACCGAGUAAUGGGGGAUAACUAAUCGAAAGAUUAGCUAAUACCGCAUAUUCUCUGAGGAGGAAAGCAGGGGACCUUCGGGCCUUGCGUUAUUCGAGCGGCCGAUAUCUGAUUAGCUAGUUGAUGGGGUAAAGGCCUACCAAGGCGACGAUCAGUAGCGGGUCUGAGAGGAUGAUCCGCCACACUGGGACUGAGACACGGCCCAGACUCCUACGGGAGGCAGCAGUGGGGAAUUUUGGACAAUGGGCGCAAGCCUGAUCCAGCCAUGCCGCGUGUCUGGAGAAGGCCUUCGGGUUGUAAAGGACUUUUGUCAGGGAAGAAAAGGCUGUUGCUAAUAUCGACAGCUGAUGACGGUACCUGAAGAAUAAGCACCGGCUAACUACGUGCCAGCAGCCGCGGUAAUACGUAGGGUGCGAGCGUUAAUCGGAAUUACUGGGCGUAAAGCGAGCGCAGACGGUUACUUAAGCAGGAUGUGAAAUCCCCGGGCUCAACCUGGGAACUGCGUUCUGAACUGGGUGACUAGAGUGUGUCAGAGGGAGGUAGAAUUCCACGUGUAGCAGUGAAAUGCGUAGAGAUGUGGAGGAAUACCGAUGGCGAAGGCAGCCUCCUGGGAUAACACUGACGUUCAUGCUCGAAAGCGUGGGUAGCAAACAGG
rnacentral:rRNA from 1 species